UCGUCUUCUGCUAAUCCGUUCAAGCGUUACCGAGUCACGGUUCGAUUGCUAGCUGCGAGGGCUAUGUACGUCGAGUUCAGCCCGAGGCUCAACCUCGGUGCCAUGGAAACCUUGUAUCUUGAGUCCGAGGAGGAAAGUGGUUUCCACGGGACGCUGGAAAUGGCGGAGAAGUGGAGGGAACCCCAGGUGGCAGGGGCACUUUUGCGGCGUUAUACUAGACUUAGGGGGCGCGAAACGCGUGGGGGCCCACCCGAGUUUGUUUUCCCUUUUGUUUCACAGCGCGUGUAACACGGUGAGUGUCUCAUGGUGUUUUAGGGGUUUCUAAUAAACCCUUAUAUUGCCGCGCGCUAACAGCACAUAUAGGGACUCUCCGCCUUGGGAAGUAGCGUCUGCGCAAGGUGUGAAACUCUCAAAGGAAUUUGAACGGGGGCCCGCCAACAGCGCGUGGGGACCAGUGUGGUUUAAAUUCGGAAGGACACCCGCGAAGGAACCUUUAACCAGGUCCUUGACCAUCCCCACCUGACCCGCUCUCUAGAGAGAUAAAAGCUUCCCUUCGGGGGCCAGUUGGUGACCAGGGUGGGUGGCAUGGUUGUCGUCAGCUCGUGGUCGUGAGGAGGUUGGGUUAAGUCCCCGGCAACGAGCGCAACCCUUAUCUUUAGUUGCCAGCAUUCAGUUGGGCACUCUAGAGAGACUGCCGUCGACAAGACGGAGGAAGGCGGGGAUGACGUCAAAUCAUCAUGCCCCUUAUGACCUGGGCUACACACGUGCUACAAUGGUUGGUACAACGGGAUGCUACUUCGCGAGAAGAUGCUAAUCUCUUAAAACCAAUCUCAGUUCGGAUUGUAGGCUGCAACUCGCCUACAUGAAGUCGGAAUCGCUAGUAAUCGCGGAUCAGCAUGCCGCGGUGAAUACGUUCCCGGGCCUUGUACACACCGCCCGUCACACCACGGGAGUUUGCAACACCCGAAGUCGGUGAGGUAACCGCAAGAGCCAGCCGCC
rnacentral:rRNA from 1 species